GCUGUCCAGUGGUCAGUGGAUGGGUUUGGUGGUCAGUGGAUGGUGUGAAAUGGUCAAAAAGGGGAGGGGAGUGGUCAUUAAGGAGAAGGGAGUGGUCAGUGGCCUGGGUUUGGUGGGCAGUGAGUGGCGUGGGGUGGUCAAUAAAGGGUGUCCAGUGGUCAGUGGAUGGGUUUGGUGGUCAGUGCAUGGUGUGAAAUGGUCAGUAAGGGGAGAGGAGUGGUCAAUAACAAAUGUCCAGUGGUCAGUGGAUGGCGUGGAGUGGUCAGUGCCUGGCGUGGGGGUCACUCAGCAGUCCCAGUGGUCAGUGUUGGUCAGUGGUCAGUGCCUGCUGUGGGGUCAGUGCCUGGCGUGGGGGUCACUCAGCAGUCCCAGUGGUCAGUGUUGGUCAGUGGUCAGUGCCUGCUGUGGCCCCAGCGCUCACUCAGAGCCGUUCCCGCUCAAUAAAUUCCCAUUUUUCCCUUUCCCCCCUCAAUUCCACCCCUGGCCGGGCUCCAGAAGGGAUUUUACUGCAAAACCUCAGAAUUUACUUUUACUGCAAAACUUCAGAAUUUACAAACUCCAGAAAGGAUUUUACUGCAAAACCUCCGAAUUUACUUUUACUGCAAAACCUCCAAAUUUACAAACUCCAGAGCGGAUUUUACUGCAAAACCUCAAAAUUUACUUUUACUGCAAAACCUCAAAAUUUACUUUUACUGCAAAACCUCAGAAUUUACAAACUCUGACACGGAUUUUACUGCAAAACCUCCAAAUUUACAAACUCCAGAGUGGAUUUUACUGCAAAACCUCUGAAUUUACAAACUCCAGAAAGGAUUUUACUGCAAAACCUCAAAAUUUACUUUUACUGCAAACCCUCAGAAUUUACAAACUCUAGAAAGGAUUUACUGCAAACCCUCAGAAUUUACAAACUCUAGAAAGGAUUUACUGCAAACCCUCAGAAUUUACUUUUACUGCAAAACCCCAGAAUUUACAAACUCCAGAACGGAUUUUAUUGCAAAACCUCCAAAUUUACAAACUCCAGAGCGGAUUUUACUGCAAACCCUCCACAUUUACAAACUCCAGAAGGGAUUUUACUGCAAAACCUCAGAAUUUACUUUUACUGCAAAACUUGAGAAUUUACUUUUACUGCAAAACCCCAGAAUUUACAAAUCCAGAAGGGAUUUUACUGCAAACC
ensembl:lncRNA